rnacentral:rRNA from 1 species
UACGUAGGGUGCGAGCGUUGUCCGGAAUUACUGGGCGUAAAGAGCUCGUAGGUGGUUUGUCGCGUUGUUCGUGAAAACUCACAGCUUAACUGUGGGCGUGCGGGCGAUACGGGCAGACUGGAGUACUGCAGGGGAGACUGGAAUUCCUGGUGUAGCGGUGGAAUGCGCAGAUAUCAGGAGGACCACCGGUGGCGAAGGCGGGUCUCUGGGCAGUAACUGACGCUGAGGAGCGAAAGCGUGGGGAGCGAACAGG